rnacentral:rRNA from 1 species
UACAGAGGUCCCGAGCGUUGUUCGGAUUCACUGGGCGUAAAGGAUGCGUAGGCGGAUGUUUAAGUGAGAUGUGAAAUACCCGAGCUCAACUUGGGUGCUGCAUUUCAAACUGGAUAUCUAGAGUGCAGGAGAGGAAAGCGGAAUUCCUAGUGUAGCGGUGAAAUGCGUAGAGAUUAGGAAGAACACCAGUGGCGAAGGCGGCUUUCUGGACUGUAACUGACGCUGAGGCAUGAAAGCGUGGGGAGCAAACAGG